rfam:Pseudoalteromonas atlantica T6c, complete genome.
AAAUGAGGACGACCUCAUCCCUCGCGCUUUUCUCUGGGACGACCCAG